AGCUCUAGAAGCGUAUAUUAAUUUUGUUGCAGUUAAAAAGCUCGUAGUUGGAUUUCUGGUGGGAGAGAUCGGUCCGUUCUACGAAUGGUACUUGUAUCUUCUCCGGCCAUCCUUGGGUGGAGGCUGUCUGGCAUUGAGUUGUCGGGCAGCGGAUGCCCAUCGUUUACUGUGAAAAAAUUAGAGUGUUCAAAGCAGGCUUAUGCCGUUGAAUAUAUUAGCAUGGAAUAAUAAGAUAGGACUUUGGUACUAUUUUGUUGGUUUGCGCACCAAAGUAAUGAUUAAUAGGGACAGUUGGGGGUAUUCGUAUUCCGUUGUCAGAGGUGAAAUUCUUGGAUUUCCGGAAGACGAACUACUGCGAAAGCAUUUACCAAGGAUGUUUUCAUUA
rnacentral:rRNA from 1 species